GACGAACGCUGGCGGCGUGCUUAACACAUGCAAGUCGAACGGAAAGGCCCCUUUGGGGGUACUCGAGUGGCGAACGGGUGAGUAACACGUGAGUAACCUGCCCUUGACUUCGGGAUAACUUCAGGAAACUGGGGCUAAUACCGGAUAGGAAUCCUUGCUGCAUGGUGGGGGUUGGAAAGCUUCGGCGGUUUUGGAUGGACUCGCGGCUUAUCAGCUUGUUGGUGGGGUAGUGGCUUACCAAGGCUUUGACGGGUAGCCGGCCUGAGAGGGCGACCGGCCACAUUGGGACUGAGAUACGGCCCAGACUCCUACGGGAGGCAGCAGUGGGGAAUAUUGCACAAUGGGCGGAAGGCUGAUGCAGCAACGCCGCGUGCGGGAUGACGGCCUUCGGGUUGUAAACCGCUUUCAGCAGGGGCGAAGCUUGUGGUGACGGUACCUGCAGAAGAAGCACCGGCUAACUACGUG
rnacentral:rRNA from 1 species